rnacentral:rRNA from 1 species
AUACAGGGUGACAGCCCCGUACACAAAAAUGCACAUAUUGUGAGCUCGAUGAGUAGGGCGGGACACGUGGUAUCCUGUCUGAAUAUGGGGGGCCCAUCCUCCAAGGCUAAAUACUCCUGACUGACCGAUAGUGAACCAGUACCGUGAGGGAAAGGCGAAAAGAACCCCGGCGAGGGGAGUGAAAAAGAACCUGAAACCGUGUACGUACAAGCAGUGGGAGCACGCUUAGGCGUGUGACUGCGUACCUUUUGUAUAAUGGGUCAGCGACUUAUAUUCUGUAGCAAGGUUAACCGAAUAGGGGAGCCGAAGGGAAACCGAGUCUUAACUGGGCGUUAAGUUGCAGGGUAUAGACCCGAAACCCGGUGAUCUAGCCAUGGGCAGGUUGAAGGUUGGGUAACACUAACUGGAGGACCGAACCGACUAAUGUUGAAAAAUUAGCGGAUGACUUGUGGCUGGGGGUGAAAGGCCAAUCAAACCGGGAGAUAGCUGGUUCUCCCCGAAAGCUAUUUAGGUAGCGCCUCGUGAAUUCAUCUCCGGGGGUAGAGCACUGUUUCGGCAAGGGGGUCAUCCCGACUUACCAACCCGAUGCAAACUGCGAAUACCGGAGAAUGUUAUCACGGGAGACACACGGCGGGUGCUAACGUCCGUCGUGAAGAGGGAAACAACCCAGACCGCCAGCUAAGGUCCCAAAGUCAUGGUUAAGUGGGAAACGAUGUGGGAAGGCCCAGACAGCCAGGAUGUUGGCUUAGAAGCAGCCAUCAUUUAAAGAAAGCGUAAUAGCUCACUGGUCGAGUCGGCCUGCGCGGAAGAUGUAACGGGGCUAAACCAU